UACGUAGGGUGCGAGCGUUAAUCGGAAUUACUGGGCGUAAAGCGUGCGCAGGCGGUUUGGUAAGACAGAUGUGAAAUCCCCGGGCUUAACCUGGGAAUUGCAUUUGUGACUGCCCGGCUAGAGUGUGUCAGAGGGGGGGUAGAAUUCCACGUGUAGCAGUGAAAUGCGUAGAGAUGUGGAGGAAUACCGAUGGCGAAGGCAGCCCCCCUGGGAUAACACUGACGCUCAUGCACGAAAGCGUGGGGAGCAAACAGG
rnacentral:rRNA from 1 species